rnacentral:rRNA from 1 species
GACGAACGCUGGCGGCGUGCUUAACACAUGCAAGUCGAACGGAAAGGCCCUGCUUUUGUGGGGUGCUCGAGUGGCGAACGGGUGAGUAACACGUGAGUAACCUGCCCUUGACUUUGGGAUAACUUCAGGAAACUGGGGCUAAUACCGGAUAGGAGCUCCUGCUGCAUGGUGGGGGUUGGAAAGUUUCGGCGGUUGGGGAUGGACUCGCGGCUUAUCAGCUUGUUGGUGGGGUAGUGGCUUACCAAGGCUUUGACGGGUAGCCGGCCUGAGAGGGUGACCGGCCACAUUGGGACUGAGAUACGGCCCAGCCUCCUACGGGAGGCAGCGGUGGGGAAUAUUGCACAAUGGGCGGAAGCCUGAUGCAGCAACGCCGCGUGCGGGAUGACGGCCUUCGGGUUGUAAACCGCUUUCGCCUGUGACGAAGCGUGAGUGACGGUAAUGGGUAAAGAAGCACCGGCUAACUACGUG